rnacentral:rRNA from 1 species
UACAGAGGUGGCAAGCGUUGUUCGGAAUUACUGGGCGUAAAGGGCGCGUAGGCGGCCAUCUAAGUCAGACGUGAAAUCCCCGGCUUAACCUGGGAACUGCGUCUGAUACUGGAAGGCUCGAGUUUGGGAGAGGGAUGUGGAAUUCCAGGUGUAGCGGUGAAAUGCGUAGAUAUCUGGAGGAACACCGGUGGCGAAGGCGGCAUCCUGGACCAACACUGACGCUGAGGCGCGAAAGCUAGGGGAGCAAACGGG